UACAGAGGUCUCAAGCGUUGUUCGGAUUCAUUGGGCGUAAAGGGUGUGUAGGUGGCGCGCUAAGUCGGGUGUGAAAUUUCGGAGCUUAACUCCGAAACUGCAUUCGAUACUGGCGUGCUUGAGGACUGGAGAGGAGACUGGAAUUCAUGGUGUAGCAGUGAAGUGCGUAGAGAUCAUGAGGAAGACCAGUGGCGAAGGCGGCUCUCUGGGACGGUACUGACGCUGAGACGCGAAAGCGUGGGGAGCGAACAGG
rnacentral:rRNA from 1 species